CAGGAGAUGUCAACUUAUGACUUGUUUUGUAUCAUGCUUAAUCUGGAUUUAAAAUGUUCAUCCAGUCUAAUAACUGAGCAUAAUUCAGGUGAACCCCUCAUAUUCAUAGAAGUUGCAUUAAUGAAGGAUGUGGCCGAGACGAUUCAGGAAGUUCUAUGGGACGAUCCUCCAAUACCUGAAUGUGAAGCAACCUGUGCACUCUUUUACUCUAUAUCAUCUACCCAGCCUGGCUUAUCCGGAAUCAACCUUGGGAAAUUCCUUAUUAAACGUGUAAUUGAUGUUGUGAAGAAGGAUAUGCCGAUUAUAUCUACCUUUGCUACUCUUAGUCCUAUUCCAGGCUACAUGCAGUGGCUUCUAUCAAAAUUGGCAUCAGCAGAGAUAUCUGGUCCUACCUUUAGAGAGAACUUGCUUAAACAAGAAGAAGAGGGGGCACUUGUAGAUGCAGCAGUAGAAUUCAGUUCCAGCAAAAACGGAAUGGAAGUGAUGAAGUACUUGUUGACAUCAACCAAUUAUGAGUGGACAAAGUCAGCUAAGAUAAUUUCGGUUCUAAGACCUCCAAUGAUGCGACUUUGUGCUCGGUACCUUCUGCAAGAGAAGAAGAGGGGGAAAGCUCUAGAUUCUGUGGCAAACUUCCACUUGCAGAAUGGAGCGAUGAUCGGAAGGCUGAAUUGGAUGGCUGAUCGAUCUGAAAAAGGCCUUACUCAGAGUGGAGGGAUUAUGGUCAACUACAUAUAUAGGGUGGAGAACAUUGAAGAAAAUGCUCAGUCAUAUUACAGCAAAGGGCAUAUCCACGCUACCUCAGAUGUCUCUUGCUUUGUUGAGGAUCAUGAACAAACUAGAGAUUAGGAAGCUGUUGCAGGAGUGGUGUGAAAUUUAAUGUUCUACCCUUGUAGUACAGGCUGAGUGAAAUGUAAGUACAUAUAUACCUAGAUUUUUAUGCCUUGGUGAUUCCCGCAUUAAGUUGGCGCAAAACUUAUCCCCAUCAUUCACUGAGUGUCUGCCCAAGAAUUCCAUCAACUCCUCGUAUGCCUCGGGGUUGUAGCUCUGCUCUGUCAAGUGACUGUUAAAAAACAAGAAAAUGGCAUAGAUAUAUUUUUAUGGAUGUAUGUCUAUACCCUAAUCUGUAGCUUCAUUAGAUACAGUGAGCUUCAAAGUUCUGUACUGAUUUGAUGUAGCCAACCGUCUGAUACUAUACUCAAUAGAACAAUAAAAGUGGAGAUAAUGAUUCUGUGAAAAGAAGAGAACCUGCAACUGAGCAGUGACAAUUCGAACAGCAAUGUAUGUGAAGAAAUUAUGGAGGUGCUUCGCUGCUUUUGCUUCUGGUGAUCCUUCUCCGAACCCUGCACCACUCUUCUUUAAUAUUCACAGGCAGAUCCAUAGGUACACUUGCUAGAAACUUUUACAAGAGGGUGACUACCCACCUGGAACAUACAUCUUUUGACAAUGGAAGCGAGUUGGCUGAGAAGUUCUUUGCUUCCAUGGCCUGAAGGGACAGGCUCUGGUUUCCCUGCAAGCUUGUGUUGGAGAAACUGCGAGCCUUGAGAGGGGGACGGUGGCGAAGGAUUCCAUAAUAUGGCUCAUCUUAACUGUACUGUGUAAUCUGUGGCAACUGCCAGUGAGAAUUGAAGGAAAAGAGCAGAAGUAGAUGUUUUUGUCCAAUGACUAGCAAGCGGCAAGACACCUUGAGAAGCCUUUAGUGAAGAGAUAAUAAUAAUAUCUUUACUUCCAUGUUGAAAUAUCUUCAGGUAUAUGUGGCAAGAAGCCUGAAAUUUUGUCAUGGAUCAUUUGUCCAUCUUUAAGGGUGGAUCCCACCCAUUCUAUUGUCUCUUUUAUACGUAUGUGUAUGCAUCUGGCCCUCGUAUUAUUGAAUAACCAAGUCUGGAAUAUUCC